ensembl:lncRNA
UGUUCUCGUUGUUUUUUUCCUUUUUAUAGAGGCAUCAUUUACUGAGGUUGGAGCAGCCAUUUCCUGUUUGGAUGACCCAUGAUCCAGGGGCCAAGUUGAGUUUAGCCCUGUUGUUGACUUCCUGCCGCUGGCAGUGUUCCUACUGAACGACCGGUUUGUGACUUUUCCGCCGUGAACCUCCUCAAAGGAGAAGCGUUCCUCCGGGGCCUUCUCUAUUUUUACUAUUGUGACUCCAGAAACACGGUCUGUGUGGAAACUCCAUGGCCUUUGUUGCAAACCCGACACACAGCUUACAGCUACAGCCACAGCCGUCAACUUCAAGCUGGAAGGCGGCAGGUUCAAGCGGCCAUAUGGGACUUUUAUUCUCUGAUGUCUUUUGAGUUGGGUGUAUUCCUGUGGUUUAAAAAAACAAAACAGGAGUUGUUGUUUUACCGCAGCUCUUUUUCAAAGCUGCUUAAUCAUUAUAUCGUUGAUAUUUUAACUUGUAUAAAAGUUUUGAAUCUCAAAUCAGUAUUUUACUAUAACGAAACAAACUUUACUUUUAAGCAUGCAUACUUCCCUGACCUUAUGACUAAUCCACAAGCAAAUAAUGUCCCGUACUAUACAUAGUCGUUAUGGCUCACUUUGCUGUCUAUUUUCAAGUUAUAAAAUCCUGCUUGUAGCACAGAAAUUGCGGUGUUGUGGAAGCUAACAAUGUUCUCUACUUGAAUGUGGUUUUAUUAUUCUAUCUUGGUUUUUAACUGCUACCCUUUUCUUUAUCCAGUUGCGGUGGUCGAUCGGGUUCGCGAUUUAGUAUCUACUACGUGUAUCUGUUGAUAGCCAAGCACAUAUGGAAGUAUGUAUGGUGACAAUGAGCAGUUUUAAAAAAAACAAUUACACAUUACAAAAAUGAGCCAAUGGACUUUCAGGAGCUUGAAUAAAAACCAACCAUGAUGUGUGCAAGCACUGUCACUAAGGGUCAAAAUAACUGGUGCUGUUCGCCAUUUAUGAUAAGGAGGGCUGGUUAAUUCUGAGGGAGGGGGGUUUCCCUAGUAAUGAUAACCAAAGUUAGCUCACAAAAACAAAGUCCCUCUUUUGGACAAAAUGGAUUUACUUUGACCUCUAGAGAUGACAGUUCUUGGUGACUCCAUUGUGGUUUAGCUUAUAUUCCAGUCCCUGUAACUGAUCAUGAUGUACGUUGCUUUAUUUUUUAUUUUCUUUAUCUAUUUAUUACAAACUAAUGACAUCGCUAGCCAAUUUUUAACAUUUCAAAUUAGAGGCCUACUAGUUUUUUUUCUGCUUUUGUGACUUCGAGAUAUAGUCUAUUGUUUUUGAAACUGAGAAUUUAACAGAGCCUUAAAAACUUUCUGUUUCAUUCCCGCCUCCGUGUGUUUCUUUAUAGCUAUACCUGACUGGGUAGGUCAGGGUACCUGAUCAGUAUCAGGAACUACGUAUUUGUGUUUCAUUUUCUUACAUUCUCAUUAAAAUGUUACAUAUUUG